rnacentral:rRNA from 1 species
ACAGAGGGUGCGAGCGUUAAUCGGAAUUACUGGGCGUAAAGCGCACGUAGUCGGCUUUGCAAGUCGGGUGUGAAAUCCCCGGGCUCAACCUGGGAACUGCAUCCGAGACUGCAUUGCUAGAGUAUGGGAGAGGGAAGCGGAAUUUCUGGUGUAGCAGUGAAAUGCGUAGAUAUCAGAAGGAACAUCAGUGGCGAAGGCGGCUUCCUGGACCAAUACUGACGAUCAGGUGCGAAAGCGUGGGGAGCAAACAGGA